GUUAUGAAUGAUUUUGAUGCAGAUGACGAGCAUAAAUACAAGUCGUCGUCCACUACUUCUCGAUCAACUGGUAUUCAAGGUUUGGGGACGUAUU
rnacentral:ribozyme from 1 species